UGGGAUACCACCCUUGUAGUACUGGGACUCUAACCAUAGGCCAUGAAUCUGGUCUUGGGACACUGUCAGGUGGGCAGUUUGACUGGGGCGGUCGCCUCCCAAAAGGUAACGGAGGCGCUCAAAGGUUCUCUCAGUACGGUCGGAAAUCGUACGUAGAGUGUAAAGGCAAAAGAGAGCUUGAUUGCAAGACAUACAGGUCGAGCAAGGAUGAAAAUCGGACUUAGUGAUCCGGUGGUUCUGCGUGGAAGGGCCAUCGCUCAACGGAUAAAAGCUACCCUGGGGAUAACAGGCUUAUCUCCCCCAAGAGUCCACAUCGACGGGGAGGUUUGGCACCUCGAUGUCGGCUCAUCACAUCCUGGGGCUGUAGUAGGUCCCAAGGGUUGGGCUGUUCGCCCAUUAAAGUGGUACGCGAGCUGGGUUCAGAACGUCGUGAGACAGUUCGGUCCCUAUCCGUCGCAGGCGUAGGAAAUUUGAGAAGACCUGUCCUUAGUACGAGAGGACCGGGAUGGACG
rnacentral:rRNA from 1 species